rnacentral:lncRNA from 1 species
GACAAAGGAUGAAAACCAGAGGUAUGAAGAGGCUUUGCAUUUCAGAAAGUCCAUCAUGGUAGAAAAAGAACCUUCGUUGAGGGAGAAACAUUUGCCUCAGAAACAGGGAUGAGUAAACAGAUAGAUUACUCUAGAAGCCCAUCCAUGGGGAGUCUCAGACUACUCCCACCCUGGGCACUACUCCUUUAAAAAGCACCUGCAGGGCCUCUGGGGUGAGCCACUGGCCCACCGGGGUUGGGAGCUGUGAUCAGCACAGGCUGCUUGGCCAGGAGGAAUGACUGCAGGGUGGGCAGA